rnacentral:rRNA from 1 species
AACGGCGAGUGAAGCGGCAAAAGCUCAAAUUUUAAAGCUGACAUCUUCGGUGUCCGCGUUGUAAUUUUGUGAGGCAUCUCCGGGUAGGGCGCCGGCCUAAGUUCCUUGGAACAGGACGUCACAGAGGGUGAGAAUCCCGUGCUUGGCUGGCUGUCCCCGUCCAUGUGAGGUGUCUUCGACGAGUCGAGUUGUUUGGGAAUGCAGCUCAAAAUGGGUGGUAAAUUUCAUCUAAAGCUAAAUAUUGGUGGGAGACCGAUAGCGCACAAGUAGAGUGAUCGAAAGAUGAAAAGCACUUUGAAAAUAGAGUUAAAAAGUACGUGAAAUUGUUGAAAGGGAAGCGCUUGAGACCAGACUUCGGUAAGGGGUGAUCAGCCGUCCUUUUGGGCGGUGCACUUGCCCCCCUCCGGGCCAGCAUCGGUUGAGGCGGCGGGAUAAAGGUCCCGGGAAUGUGGCUCCUUCACGGGAGUGUUAUAGCCCGGGUGAAUGCCGCCAGCUUCGACCGAGGACCGCACCCGCAAGGGUUAGGAUGCUUGGCAUAAUGGUCUUCAGCGA